rnacentral:lncRNA from 1 species
UUGAGAUUUGAUUAGGAUUUGGCAUAGGAUUAGAAUUUAGAAUUUAUUUAUGAUUUGAUUAGGAUUUAUCUAAGAUUUGAUUAAGAUUUGUUUAUAAUUUAGGAUUUCAUUAAGUUUUGAUUGGAAUUGGUUUAGGAUUUUAUUGGGAUUUUUUGAUGGUUGUACUAGGAUUUGAUUAGGAUUCAAUUAGAAUUUAUAUUUUUGAUAUUUCUUUAAUAUUUUUUUAUUAAAUAUAUUUUAUUAUGAUUUAAUUUAUAAUUUUUUAUAUUU